GGGCGGGAGCAGCGCCAGGGCCGGGAGGAGGAGCUGGAAGGGCCGCGGGGCGGGAUGGAUCGGGCCGGGAGAAGGAGCUGGACGGGCGGAUCGGGCCGGGCUGGGCGCGGCCCGGGCCGGGUCCCCGGAGCGGCCGGGGCUGACGGGCACUGCCGGCUCCCCCCGCCGCCUCCCCGGGUGCCGCUGUCCCCGCACCAAGCCCCGCUCCGGGCAGUGCAGCCCCCGGUGCGGUCCUGCAGGGCCCGGGCAGGGGGUGAACGCUGGGCAUUGAGAGGAUAAAACGAGUAAAUAAAUGAUGGGCCCAGCGCCUGGCAUCUAAACUA